rnacentral:rRNA from 1 species
AGGGUUUGAUUAUGGCUCAGGAUGAACGCUAGCGACAGGCUUAACACAUGCAAGUCGAGGGGCAGCAUGAACUUAGCUUGCUAAGUUUGAUGGCGACCGGCGCACGGGUGAGUAACGCGUAUGCAACUUACCUAUCAGAGGAGAAUAGCUCAUCGAAAGAUGAAUUAAUGCUCCAUAAAACAGGGGUCCCGCAUGGGAAUAUUUGUUAAAGAUUCAUCGCUGAUAGAUAGGCAUGCGUUCCAUUAGAUAGUUGGCGGGGUAACGGCCCACCAAGUCGACGAUCGGUAGCCGGACUGAGAGGUUGAACGGCCACAUUGGGACUGAGACACGGCCCAG